UGGCUUAGUGGUAGAGUGCUUGCCUCACAUGCAUGAGGCCCUGGGUUCAAUUCCCCAG
rnacentral:tRNA from 1 species